rnacentral:rRNA from 1 species
CGAACGGGUGAGUAACGCGUGAGGAACCUGCCUCAAAGAGGGGGACAACAGUUGGAAACGACUGCUAAUACCGCAUAAGCCCACGGCUCGGCAUCGAGCAGAGGGAAAAGGAGUGAUCCGCUUUGAGAUGGCCUCGCGUCCGGUUAGCUAGUUGGUGAGGUAACGGCCCACCAAGGCAACGAUCGGUAGCCGGACUGAGAGGUUGAACGGCCACAUUGGGACUGAGACACGGCCCAG